rnacentral:lncRNA from 11 species
CUUUGCUAAAGAAGCAAGAGCUGAGUUUUUCCUUGCUUCCCUUUGCAUUCAUUGUUCAGCCUGGCUGAGUUUCAGCGUUGCAAUAACUCUGGUCUCAGUGGCGGGAAAGUGUUGAGGCUAUGAAACUUCCAAAGUCAUUCCUCACUAUGAUAAGUGCCUAAAUCUGAAUGAGAACUAUGUUGAAAUGUAGUAUUUCAGUGUGGCUUUCAACUGCAUAUCAUGUUGGCACCUGCAUGGGUCUGUAUCCAAGAUUUACCUAGCCCUCUCCUGGUUGGUGAUCCC